rfam:Brachypodium distachyon strain Bd21 chromosome 3, whole genome shotgun sequence.
UAAGUACUCCCUCCGUUCCAUAAUUCUUGUCAAAAUAUUACAUGUAUCUAGACAUAUUUUAGGAAUAGAUACAUCCACUUUUAGUCAAGUUUGAGACGAGAAUUAUGGAACGGAGGGAGUAAUAU